rnacentral:tRNA from 1 species
GUGGGGGUGGCCCAGCCUGGCAAGGCGUUGGAUUGCUAAUCCAAUGUCAGAAAUGACCCGAGGGUUCGAAUCCCUCCCCUCACGCCA